rnacentral:rRNA from 1 species
UGGGGAAUAUUGGACAAUGGGCGAAAGCCUGAUCCAGCCAUGCCGCGUGUGUGAAGAAGGUCUUCGGAUUGUAAAGCACUUUAAGUUGGGAGGAAGGGCAGUAAGCGAAUACCUUGCUGUUUUGACGUUACCGACAGAAUAAGCACCGGCUAACUCUGUGCCAGCAGCCGCUGUAAUACAGAGGGUGCAAGCGUUAAUCGGAAUUACUGGGCGUAAAGCGCGCGUAGGUGGUUCGUUAAGUUGAAUGUGAAAGCCCCGGGCUCAACCUGGGAACUGCAUCCAAAACUGGCGAGCUAGAGUAGGGCAGGGGGUGGUGGAAUUUCCUGUGUAGCGGUGAAAUGCGUAGGUAUAGGAAGGAACACCAGUGGCGAAGGCGACCACCUGUGCUCAUACUGACACUGAGGUGCGAAAGCGUGGGGAGCAAACAGG